GAGUUUGAUCCUGGCUCAGAUUGAACGCUGGCGGCAUGCCUUACACAUGCAAGUCGAACGGCAGCACGGGAGCAAUCCUGGUGGCGAGUGGCGAACGGGUGAGUAAUAUAUCGGAACGUGCCCAGUCGUGGGGGAUAACGCAGCGAAAGCUGUGCUAAUACCGCAUACGAUCUCUGGAUGAAAGCGGGGGACUCGCAAGAGCCUCGCGCGAUUGGAGCGGCCGAUAUCAGAUUAGCUAGUUGGCGGGGUAAAAGCCCACCAAGGCGACGAUCUGUAGCUGGUCUGAGAGGACGACCAGCCACACUGGAACUGAGACACGGUCCAGACUCCUACGGGAGGCAGCAGUGGGGAAUUUUGGACAAUGGGCGAAAGCCUGAUCCAGCAAUGCCGCGUGCAGGAUGAAGGCCUUCGGGUUGUAAACUGCUUUUGUACGGAACGAAACGGUCUGCCCUAAUACGGUGGGCUAAUGACGGUACCGUAAGAAUAAGCACCGGCUAACUACGUGCCAGCAGCCGCGGUAAUACGUAGGGUGCGAGCGUUAAUCGGAAUUACUGGGCGUAAAGCGUGCGCAGGCGGUUAUAUAAGACAGAUGUGAAAUCCCCGGGCUCAACCUGGGACCUGCAUUUGUGACUGUAUAGCUAGAGUACGGUAGAGGGGGGAUGGAAUUCCGCGUGUAGCAGUGAAAUGCGUAGAUAUGCGGAGGAACACCGAUGGCGAAGGCAAUCCCCUGUACCUGUACUGACGCUCAUGCACGAAAGCGUGGGGAGCAAAACAGGAUUAGAUACCCUGNUAGUCCACGCCCUAAACGAUGUCAACUGGNUGUUGG
rnacentral:rRNA from 1 species